CAGCCGCCGCGGUAAUACGGAGGGUGCGAGCGUUAAUCGGAAUAACUGGGCGUAAAGGGCACGCAGGCGGUGACUUAAGUGAGGUGUGAAAGCCCCGGGCUUAACCUGGGAAUUGCAUUUCAUACUGGGUCGCUAGAGUACUUUAGGGAGGGGUAGAAUUCCACGUGUAGCGGUGAAAUGCGUAGAGAUGUGGAGGAAUACCGAAGGCGAAGGCAGCCCCUUGGGAAUGUACUGACGCUCAUGUGCGAAAGCGUGGGGAGCAAACAGGAUUAGAUACCCCUGUAGUCCCUGUCUCUUAUAA
rnacentral:rRNA from 1 species